rnacentral:misc_RNA from 1 species
GAUGAAGAACGCAGCGAAACGCGAUAAGUAAUGUGAAUUGCAGAAUCCAGUGAAUCAUCGAAUCUUUGAACGCACAUUGCGCCCGCCAGCAUUCUGGCGGGCAUGCCUGUUCGAGCGUCAUUUCAACCCUCGACCUCCCCUUGGGGAGGUCGGCGUUGGGGACCGGCAGCACACCGCCGGCCCUGAAAUGGAGUGGCGGCCCGUCCGCGGCGCCCUCUGCGCAGUAAUACAGCUCGCACCGGGACCCCGACGCGGCCACGCCGUAAAACACCCAACUUCUGAACGUUGACCUCGAAUCAGGUAGGACUACCCGCUGAACUUAAGCAUAUCAAUAAGCGGAGGA